CCCUUAGAUGUUCUGGGCUGCACGCGCGCUACACUGAAGCGUUCAACGAGUAUUUCACCUUGCCCGGGAGGGUUGGGUAAUCUUUUUAAAACGCUUCGUGAUGGGGAUAGAUUAUUGCAAUUAUUAAUCUUCAACGAGGAAUUCCUAGUAAGCGCGAGUCAUCAGCUCGUGCUGAUUACGUCCCUGCCCUUUGUACACACCGCCCGCCGCUCCUACCGAUUGAGUGAUCCGGUGAAUAAUUCGGACUGCAGCAGUGCUUGGUCCUCCGGGCUUUGCAGUGGAAAGUUUAGUGAACCUUAUCACUUAGAGGAAGGAGAAGUCGUAACA
rnacentral:rRNA from 1 species